AUGCAGUCGACGGGCUCUUCGGAGCAAGUGGCGGACGGGUGAGUAACGCGUGAGAAUGUGCCUUGAGGAUGGGGAUAACAAUAGGAAACUAAUGCUAAGACCCAAUGUGCCUUAAGUGGUGAAAAAUGAAAAUUGCCUGAAGAGGAGCUCGCGUCUGAUUAGCUAGUUGGGGUGGUAAAAGCGCACCAAGGCGACGAUCAGUAGCUGGUCUGAGAGGAUGAGCAGCCACACUGGGACUGAGACACGGCCCAGACUCCUACGGGAGGCAGCAGUGGGGAAUUUUCCGCAAUGGGCGAAAGCCUGACGGAGCAAUACCGCGUGAGGGAGGAAGGCUCUUGGGUUGUAAACCUCAAAACUUAGGGAAGAAAAAAAUGACGGUACCUAAUAUAAGCAUCGGCUAACUCCGUG
rnacentral:rRNA from 1 species